rnacentral:lncRNA from 1 species
AUUAUUUUCAGCUUUAUCUGGCCUGUUUGAAGAUUGAUUUUCUGAUAUGAGGUCAAGCUGGCCAGGCUGAUUAUUUUCAGCUCUAUCUGGCCUGUCUAAGGCUUGAACUAUUGAUGUAAUUUUAGACUGUCCAGACUGGUUAUUUCCAGUAAUAUCUGGUUUGUCUUGAAUUAUUUUAUGAUCUUUGUUUGUUUGCCCUGGGGUUAUUUUAAAACAGUCUGCCCUGGGGUGGUGUUCUUCUAUUAUUUCAUUAAAAACUUUUUGCAGUGGAAAUGUGUUUUCUUUUUCAUUGUUUGG